GACGAACGCUGACGGUGUGCUUUAGACAUGCAAGUCGAACGAGAAAGCCCUUCGGGGUUAGUAAAGUGGCGAACGGGUGAGUAACACGUGGGCAAUCUGCCCCUCGCAGGGGGACAACCGGAGGAAACCCCGGCUAAUACCCCGUAAGUUCAAAGGGAGGCAUCUCCCUUCGAAGAAAGGUAGCUUCGGCCAUCCGGCGAGGGAUGAGCCCGCGGUGCAUUAGCUAGUUGGUGGGGUAACGGCCCACCAAGGCGACGAUGCAUAGCUGGUCUGAGAGGAUGAUCAGCCACACUGGGACUGAGACACGGCCCAGACUCCUACGGGAGGCAGCAGUCGGGAAUCUUG
rnacentral:rRNA from 1 species